UCUCAGACCCGGAAUGCAGCAGCCAUACGCCGUCUUCGGGAGGUGCGGUCGGGU
rnacentral:SRP_RNA from 1 species